GCAUCGAUAGCUCAGUGGCAGAGCGGUGGGGCGUUUACCCAUGCGGCCCGAGUUCGAUCCCCGGUCGAUGCA